UUGUAAAAAAUUAUUUUUUACAGUAAUCUAAACAUUUACUGUAAUAAGACCAUGCAUAUGUCCCUAGACCUGGUUCUUUACCUACCUAGGUCUGGUCAGAAAUGAUGGUGAUAAGG
rnacentral:snoRNA from 1 species